UACGUAGGGUGCAAGCGUUGUCCGGAAUUAUUGGGCGUAAAGAGCUCGUAGGCGGCUUGUCACGUCUGCUGUGAAAACUUGGGGCUCAACUCCGAAGCCUGCAGUGGAUACGGGCUAGCUAGAGUGCGGUAGGGGAGACUGGAAUCCUGGUGUAGCGGUGAAAUGCGCAGAUAUCAGGAGGAACACCGGUGGCGAAGGCGGGUCUCUGGACCGAUGACUGACGCUGAGGAGCGAAGCGUGGGGAGCGAACAGG
rnacentral:rRNA from 1 species